GGCAUACUCGGGACCUCUGAAUCUCCGGAACCGCAACUCUCGCUGGCGUUCCAUGAUUGGCUUUCCCCAACCAUAGCAAACCCACGGAAACAGAACUCCCAGAUUGAAUUCAAAUCACAUAUACAGGAUUUCCUUAAUUUCCCCAAUUCCUUUGUCUCAGAAACCCUAAAUCUCAAAUUCUUACUCUGACCCAUGGCUUCUCGUCGUCGCAUGCUUUUAAAGGUCAUUAUCCUAGGCGACAGCGGGGUGGGGAAGACGUCGCUGAUGAAUCAGUAUGUGAAUCGUAAGUUUAGUAAUCAGUAUAAGGCGACUAUAGGAGCAGAUUUUCUGACCAAGGAAGUUCAGUUUGAAGAUAGGUUGUUCACCUUGCAGAUUUGGGAUACUGCUGGGCAAGAAAGGUUUCAAAGUCUUGGUGUGGCUUUCUACCGUGGUGCAGAUUGCUGUGUUCUUGUGUAUGAUGUGAAUGUAAUGAAAUCAUUUGAUAAUCUUAACAACUGGCGGGAAGAGUUUCUGAUUCAGGCCAGCCCGUCUGACCCUGAAAACUUCCCAUUUGUUGUGCUGGGGAACAAGAUAGAUGUUGAUGGUGGGAAUAGCCGGGUGGUUUCUGAGAAGAAAGCUAAGGCAUGGUGUGCUUCUAAGGGAAACAUACCGUACUUUGAAACCUCUGCAAAAGAAGGAUUCAAUGUUGAAGCUGCUUUCCAGUGUAUAGCCAAGAACGCUCUCAAGAAUGAACCUGAAGAAGAAAUAUACCUGCCUGACACCAUUGACGUUGGGGGUGGAGGGCGGCAGCAAAGAUCUACAGGUUGCGAGUGCUAGAAGAGUUGUUGGAUUUUCCUGUGUUUGUUCCUUGGAUUGCAAGAUACAGCUCACUGCUAUUUGGCGACUUACGAGACAAGGUGCGGACGAUUCAUCUAUCGACUCAGUUUCUUAUCGUUGUCAAUUUUAUGGACCGGACGUGUACGAGUAUAAAUCCAGAUGAUGUUGCUCAAACAAGAAGAAAAAAAAAUUGUAGGCAUACAAGAGGAAGUUAUUAUUAUUAUUAUUAUUGUUAUUAUUAUUUUUCUUUCUGUAGAAGUAUUUUGUCA